CGCUAUCUUCGCAGCCCUUUGACUGGAAUUGGACAAGCAGUAAUCUAUAUAAGACCACUACAGAAAAGUAUCCCUUUGGAAAAUAGUUCCUGCACCCUCCAUCAACAAGGGCCACUCACAAAAUGUCUGAGCUGUGACACAGACAUUCCCUUAAAUAAAAUGAAAAACCACAUCAGCAAAUGCACAAGAGUGGAAAUGUGAAGCUGAUGGAACCAGAGCU